rnacentral:lncRNA from 1 species
AAUCACUACUCUUCACUCCCACAGUCUGUGAGCGUGUCACUGCCCGCAGCUCGAUAGCUAAGACCCAGACUGGGAUUAGAUACCUCACUGUGCUUAGCCCUAAAAAAGGCCAGGACCAAACCUAUGUGUUUAUGGAGGCAUUUUCAGUGCCUUUCUUUUUAAGCUACAUUAACUAAGGUAAUCAAAAAUACAUACUUCAGGCACUGUGUAUCACAAUUGCCCUAGGCAUUUACUUUACACCUCUACAAGCCUCAGAAUAUUUUGAAGUCCCUUUCACUAUCUCUGCUGGAGUUUACAGCUCAACAUUCUUCAUAGCCACAGGUUUUCACGGGCUUCACGUUAUUAUUGGAUCAACAUUUCUUACUGUCUGCCUACUCCGCCAACUAAAAUUUCAGUAUACAUCUAACUGCCAUUGUGGAUUUGAAGCCUCAGUCUGAUACUGGCACUUUGUAGAUGUAAUAUGACUAUUCCUAUAUGUUUCUAUCUAUUAACAAGGAUCAUACUCUUAGUAUAACAGUACAAUUGACUUCCAAUCAAUUAGCUUCAGCAUUACCUGAAAAAGAGUUAUUAAUCUAACAUUAGCCUUAGCAACUGACACCUUACUAACACUUUAAUUAUAACAUUCACGGCCACAGAACUAAUCAUAUUUAAAAAAAGAAAAGAAAAAGAAAUAACUUACAUAACCCUUAGGAACUCUUACUUCAGGCUUUAAAAGGCAAGGAGCAAAUAGUUUUAGGAGACUGAUAACGAUGUCACCUAAAUUUGAGAUACUAAAAAGAGAUUAGUGCUCUCAACUAUGUGAAAUCUAUUUCUCCUACUGUCUCAAAUAUAAUCCUAGGAAUGUGCUUAUAAACAAAGCAUUUCUGGGCCAGGAUAGCAAUGCUUCACAUCAUAUUGUGCUGCAGUUUCCAUCAUGCUUAAACGACAGAGACAUGAACGAUAAAUAACAGCAUUCAGAGCCCUGCAGCUGCAGGCCUUGAGGACCCUGCUUCCUUGCUGACUGUCCACGGGGACCACUCUCAGCCCUUGGAGGUAUCCCAUUGCUCUUUGCCACAGGCCAUCUCACAACAUGGCAGCUCACUUCUUCCAGACAUUACUUUUCAGGUGUUUGCAUCUCCAUAUUUCUUUCUAUUCUUUUUUUGCAAUUCCGUCUAGAUGUAUAUUGGAUUUUCAUAUUUUGUUCUCCUUGUCUCUUAACUCCUUUUGUUAUUUUUCUAUCUCUUUACAUCUCCAGUCUGCAUAUUAGGCAAUUUUUUCAUACCUAUCUUGCAAGUAAUUAUGUCUUCAGCUGGGUUUAACGCUUAUUUUUUUAACCUAUUGACUGAGUUCUUAAUGUAAAUGACUGUGUUUUUUAUUUCUAAAUACUAUAUGUUUUUUUCUGUUCCCAACGUUUCCUGGCUUCUUGUUUUUUAAAUGAUGAAGGACAAAUCCUUUAGCAUAGCAGGAAAGCCCAUUCAACACCCUGGCAAAGACUCCAGUUAGUUAUGCUCCUCUGUCGUUUGUAUGUUAAAACUGCUAAACUCUAAACAUCUAUGUGCUUUGGUGCCCCGUUUUCUUUGAUUUGGAGUUUAGGAUGAGAGACGUUGAGCUCCAAACUCAGACUAAGAAACUAUAAGAAAUAUGCUUCAAUGAAGAAGCUGUUCAAAAAUGAGUAAGAUUGUUUCCUUGAGGCAAGAAAGAAAUGCAGAAGUCUUGACAAACAAAAGAAGAGAUUGCCUUAGGGAAGGGGACUACAGUGAACACUGAGAACUUCUUCCCACGCUAAGACAAUCUUUACAGAGCAAGACUCCGUCUCAAAAGUGGAGACCUAUUCUGUUGGGUUAGAGAUGACAGAAAAUCUUAUUUGUCGGUUGGUUUGUUUGUUCAAGAAUACACUGACCUUCUACAAGAAAGGAGAGCUCUUUGACACCUGGAAAUUUUACAGAAGCUUGGGACAGCUCUGAAUGGCAACACGGUCCUGAGAUAUGUGAUUACCUGGGACUUUCAUUGGACCUGCAUUUCAGCUCUACUCUCCUCACUGCCCUAUGCUGCUUUGACCCUAAAAGUGAAGCCAGCUUGGCCAGGUGCAGUGACUCACACCUGUAAUCCCAGCACUUUGGGAGGCCGAGGUGGGCAAAUCAAGAAGUCAGGAAAUCGAGACCACCCUGGCCAACAUUGUGAAACACCAUCUCUACUAAAACACAAAAAAAUUAGCCAGGUGUGGUGGCACGCACCUGUAGUCCCAGCUACUCGGGAGGCUGAGGCAGGGGAAUCACUUGAACCCGUGAGGAGGAAAUUGCAGCGAGCCAAGAUCGCGCCACUGCACCCCAGCCUGGGCGACAGAGAGAGACUCCAUCUCAAAAACAAAACAAAACAAAACAAAAAAAACAAAAAGUGAAGCCAACUCAAUUGUCUCAUAGAACUGAUCUUUACGGUGUUUUUAAAUAAACAUAGAAAUUGGCCCUCCCAGUCUUAAAACUUCAAAAACUUACAUUUGUCUUACCUCAGUUCCUUUCUCAGGAAUCCAAUCAUCAAGGCUCCCAGAUAGUAUCAAUGAACGGAAACUUACCAGAUCACGAUAUCUGGACAAUGAGAUGUCAGAUCCCCCUCAUCCAUCCUGAUUACCUAACUGACUACCUGCUUCCUGUUGGCCAACUACUCUUCCUUACCCCUCCCUAAUUCUUGUUUUCCCACAAAUGGUUACAUUUCUGUCCUGCUAUAGAAGCCCUUAAUUUUAAUUGGUCGAGGAGAUGGAUUUGAGACUGAUUUUUUGCUCUCCUUGGCUGUUGCACCUGAAUAGCCUUUUUCCCUGGCAAUACUUUUUGUCUCAGUGAUUGGCUUUCUGUGCAGUGAGCAAUGGGACCAAACUUCUGGUGUUUUGGUAACAAAUUUUGGUUUCCUGACUGUGAAUGCAUUGCUUGUGACUCAGCUGCCAUGAGCUGGGAGAGUUUCAAAAGCCCUCUAAGCAGCUACCUGACCAUUUUGGCCAGAGGUGGAUUUUCGUCUCUCCCCAUUUGGGCCCACUUCUGCCAACCCCAACCAUGUUCCUGAUUGCCUAGGAAGAACAGCCUUUGAAAUUUGACGUCUAUGUACAGAAAGUGCUGGAAGAUUAUCUGGCUGACCUUAUCAGCUGUGAUGUCAGGAAUGUCAGCCAGUUAUCCUGUGGUGCAUUCAGCUGGGUCAUUGUACCCCAUCAGUGAGGCAAUUGCAAAGUUCCAUCUGGACAGAGGUAGAAAAAAUUAUAUUCACUUUGAGUAAUUUUCAAAGAUAAAGACAAUUGCUUUUGGCUUUUAAGAGACACAUCUGGUAUGCCUUGGGCUGGAUGCCAGAUAUUUCUGCUGUUGAGUUUUUAUAACAUUAUAUAGGCCUCAAUAUUUUAGAACUAGUAUACAUUUGAUAAAAGUGACUUUUCUAAAGUUUUAGGGAGAAUCUUUUGCUUAGGUGCAGCUGAGUAUUUUUAGUUCAGUACUACAGAUGGCAUACCAAAUUUAAGAGGAGUUGAGUGACUGCUUCAAGGUUGCACAGCUAGUUCUUGGUAGAUCUGGAAAAGGACCAACAUCUCUUGGCCCUUUGUCAGAUAUUCUUUCUUUGAUUUCACACUGUUUUUAAAGAUGCUUAAUACAUUUUAAAUUAAAAUGGUUAUUUGAAUCUGCUUAAACUAGACAAUACUAAUUGUCAAACAUCCAUUACCUGCUUUUUCUCUAGUAACAGAUUGGUGCAAAAAGAAUUGCGGUUUUUGCCAUUACUUUUAAUGGCAUUAAUUACUUUUAAUGGCAAAAACCUUAGUUCCUUUUGCACCAGCCUAAUAAUAAAACCCCUAAUUUUAACUUGGCACGUGGCC